GGGUUAAGUCCCGCAACGAGCGCAACCCUUGAUCUUAGUUGCCAGCAUUCAGUUGGGCACUCUAAGGUGACUGCCGGUGACAAACCGGAGGAAGGUGGGGAUGACGUCAAAUCAUCAUGCCCCUUAUGACCUGGGCUACACACGUGCUACAAUGGGCAGAACAAAGGGCAGCGAAACCGCGAGGUUAAGCCAAUCCCACAAAUCUGUUCUCAGUUCGGAUCGCAGUCUGCAACUCGACUGCGUGAAGCUGGAAUCGCUAGUAAUCGCGGAUUCCAGCAGCCGCGGUAAUACGUUCCCGGGCCUUGUACACACCGCCCGUCACACCACGAGAGUUUGUAACACCCGAAGUCGGUGAGGUAACCUUU
rnacentral:rRNA from 1 species